GUGCCCAGUUGGCCACUUAGAACUUUGUGGAAUAUUUUCCCCUGCCGAAACCCAGAACCUUGUACUGAAAGACUGUAGGUGAAGCAAAAUCUGAUUCAGAGAUAGAAAAUUCAGGGAAGGAAGAAGAAGAAGAAGAAUGAAGAGCAUACCUCUGCUUCUGAUGGGCUGUGGAGGUGUUGGUCGCCAGCUCCUUCAACACAUUGUCUCCUGCAGAUCUCUUCAUGCCAAGCAGGAAAUCCAUUUGCGAGUGGUGGGAGUCUGUGACAGUAAAUCGUUAGUUGUUGCAUCAGAUGUAUUCACCAGGGAAUUAAAUGAUAAAUUUUUAUCUGAAGUUUGCCGGGUGAAGUCGAAUGGUUUAUCUCUUUCUAAGCUUGCUGAAUUUGAUGAAUGCCUAAUAUACUCGAAUUCAGAGUCAAAAAGAAAAGUAAUAGAUAUUGCAGCUCUACUAGGAAAAUCAACAGGUUUGUGUUUCAAUGAGCUCCUCUCUUGUUUUUAUACUUUGAUUGUUUAAAUUUGUUAAAGCUUUAAACCUUAACUUAUUUCAGUGUAAACAGUGAAUCACAUCUUUAGCAAUGAAAUUAUUUCACUUGUUAUUACAGUCUCUUUUUAUUUGUUUCUACCACUUGAACUGAAGCCUGAAAAUCACCAAGCAUUUGGCUACUAAAUUUUCUGAUUUCUGUGCUGACAUUAUUUUGUUUUUACCAUGUGACAGGUUUGGCUUUUGUAGAUUGCUCUGCGAGUUACGAGACUAUUGCAGUGCUAAACCGAGUAGUUGAUUUAGGAUGUUGUAUUGUCAUGGCAAAUAAGAAGCCUCUUACUUCUACACUAGUAAUGAACUCUUGUUGUCAUCCUUGUUAGUUUCUAAUAGAAAAAGAAAUCUGGGGCUUAGGGGCAUUGGGAUGCCCUGUAGUUCUUCCAUUUUCUUUUUUAUAUAUAGGUUGAAACUAUUUUGGGAAAGGAUUAGAAGGGAUUAUGGGGGCUUGUAGUGGUCCUUCUUGGCUAUAAACGAGUAGCUUGAGACCAUGAGUUUCUGAUUUAGCAUCCAGCAUUUGUGAGGAUACAAUUACCCUACUUAAUUAAAUUUUUUAUUUUGGAAAUGAUCUCCUAUUGUAUCUGGAAUUCUGGAUACCGCACUAACAUCCCUUUUGUGCCCUUUAAUUUUUUUUUAUUAUUUUUUUUAUCUUUGCUAUUUUUACUAAAAUGUGUGGCAACUGUAGUUAUGACUUAUGGGAGAAAUGAUAUGAUGAUACUGAAGAGAAGUGAAGUUCAAUUUCUCUAAACUAGGUUGGAUGAUGAAAAAAGUGAUAAACAUAGAAGAGUGAUGAUUUGACAAUGAUAAGACUCUCUGGUCAUAAUUUAUCUCUUUGCUUUUCAUUUAGAAAUCUCAAGAAAUGAAAGCUUUGAAUUCCUGUUUAUUCUGUACUUCCCUUAACUUCACUCCUUUCAUUUGAACACACUUCCCUUCUUGCUAUUACUUUUGUCAGUGGUUCCAAUUUUUUCUCUUUCCAUUCCAUACCUGGAGUUAAAUAUAUUGAGAAUUUUUUUGCACUCUUUCUCGCAGGAAGAUUAUGACAAAUUGUAUUCCUAUCCACGAAGAAUUCGGCAUGAGUCAACUGUUGGUGCUGGCCUUCCUGUUAUAGCAUCCUUAAAUCGUAUACUUUUGUCUGGGGACCCUGUUCAUUGCAUAAUUGGGAGUUUGAGUGGAACUUUGGGAUAUGUAAUGAGUGAGGUUGAAGAUGGAAAGCCUCUGAGUGAAGUUGUUAAGACUGCCAAAAGUUUGGGCUUUACUGAACCAGAUCCCCGGGAUGACCUUAGUGGGAUGGAUGUUGCAAGGAAGGCUUUGAUUCUUGCUCGACUUCUUGGAAGGCGGAUUAACUUGGAUAACAUUAAAAUUGAGAGCUUGUAUCCUGAUGAAAUGAGACCUGAUGUUAUGUCUGUUGAAGAAUUUUUGGCUAAUGGUAUUAAAUUACUUGAUAAUGACGUUGAAGAAAGAGUUAAAAAGGCAUCCUUGAAGGGGAAUGUGCUCCGCUAUGUUUGUGUAAUUGAGGGUUCAAGGUGUGAGGUUGGCAUUCAAGAACUCUCUAAGACUUCUCCUUUGGGGAGAUUGAGAGGAAGUGACAAUGUGUUGGAGGUAUACAGCCGGUGUUAUAAUGAACAACCACUGGUCAUUCAAGGUGCUGGAGCUGGCAAUGAUACUACAGCAGCUGGUGUGCUUGCUGAUAUCCUGGAUAUUCAGGAUUUAUUCCCUUGAAAAAAGUGGGUAAUUCACUUCUGAGACUCAGAUCAUAGAGACGAUGUCACAGGAUGCGCCACCAAGACAUGCAACAAAGCAAUGUCAGUUUUUGAAAAAUGAAGUGGACAUUUUUCAAUUGGGAGCUAGUAAUGCAGUUGCAACAAAGAUUUUGGUAUGUCAGUGCAUGCAUUUGCUAAUACCAUUUAAAGGUGAAAUUGUGCAUGCUGGAAGAAAUAUUUUUUAGAAGUAAACUUUUUGUGCAACUGAACUUCAAAUAGUGGGCAUUAGGUUCUGAUGUUUGUUUGUUUGAAGUCUGGAUAUGUAACCUUUACAGCAGUCAAAGAAAUUGUGAAAGAAGUAUGGAACUUUGAGGUCACUGGCAAUCUUGGGCUUACUGUUUUGUGAUGAUUUGAGUUUUUCCUUUUUUUUUAUUAUUUUUUUUUCAUAGAUGGGUCAUUCUGAUCACCCUAUUAUUUACAACUGGUGACUUCUUGGCUCCCUUUGGUGAAAUGAUAAAUCAUAUGUAUAGCAUAUGUAGAAAGAGAAGAUUCUCCUUAAUUUCAAUUAAUUUGUACAUGGGUAUAUAUACACAAUUGAUUCCUAUGAUUGUGUUCUACUAAUUAGGAAG
rnacentral:misc_RNA from 1 species